ACUCAGCCUCAAAUCUAUUAGGACAAAACCGUUUUAUGAAUCAUAAAAUUCUAAGAGUUUGACUUGGCCAACUUGAGCCAUGCAGUAGGUCAAAAACACCAUAAAAGGGCAAGCAAAUCAGGCAGUUGCAACUCUGAAUAUGUCCCCCCUCCCCAUCUAAUUUACCUCCCAUGACAUACACAUACGUACUCACAUGUUUCCAACCAUUCCAACUGUGCAAUUCAUUUUGAACAUGUCAGUUGACGCAUUUCCGAGCGUGAACGCAUCAAUCACUCGUCUUCACAUGAGCUGUUGAGCGCAGGUGCCUCCGAAUACGCUUGGACGUCCAAUCAUGGCGGGAGAGCCGACCUACUGCUCAACACACACGCCAUAGUCAACAAGAAGCGUCUGACUCCAGUUCGGGAAGCAGAAAAUGCUCCCACGAUGCACUUCGGCGUGACUCCAAC